UCUCUUCCUUCUCUCUAAAAACCUAAACUACCCGACCCGACGACGGAAUCCCAACAAAGGCAAUCUGGUGCACAAGGAUGAUGUCCGGUACUGGUAUAAAAAAUGGUUGGGAGCUGGAGAAGCCAUUGUUGGAUAUGAGAAUUUCACCCGUGAUGGAUUGAUCUGAGCGAUUACCUUUGGAUGAAGUAUUUGAACAAUUGAGGACAUCACCAGCAGGGUUUUCUUCUAAAGAAGCUGAAGUUCGACAUAAGAUAUUUGGCCUUAACAAACUGGAAGAAAAGAGAGUAAGCAUCCAGUCUCCCUUCUAGUUAAGCUUAAAGUAUGAGGACUGAGAGUUACAUGCAUUUGAAUCUUAAUACUUGCACUCAAUAUUAGAGGGGAAUUGAAAUGAACUCAACUACCGUGCUUGAACCGGAUGUGUAAGUCACUAAUGCAUGUAUAACUUCUUACUACUAGUAACUCACUGAAGCUUACGGUUGUGUCUCGCAAAAUCUCUAAGGGAGAUUAAGUCUUCCAAGGGGUAAUCUACCAAAUGCUCAAUACAUCAAUUGAAGUUCUCAUAAUUGCUCAUGUCCACUUGAAGUCAUAUUCCCUCAACAAUGGUGGCGUUGUCACACUCUCUUCCAAAUUUGGUCUCUUCCGUCAUAG